rnacentral:rRNA from 1 species
GACGAACGCUGGCGGCGUGCUUAACACAUGCAAGUCGAACGGGUGUAGCAAUACAUCAGUGGCAGACGGGUGAGUAACACGUGGGAACCUUCCUAGGGGUACGGAACAACUCAGGGAAACUUGAGCUAAUACCGUAUACGUCCGUGAGGAGAAAGAUUUAUCGCCCUUAGACGGGCCCGCGUCGGAUUAGCUAGUUGGUGGGGUAACGGCCUACCAAGGCGACGAUCCGUAGCUGAUCUUAGAGGAUGAUCAGCCACACUGGGACUGAGACACUGCCCAGACUCCUACGGGAGGCAGCAGUGGGGAAUCUUGGACAAUGGGCGCAAGCCUGAUCCAGCCAUGCCGCGUGGGUGAAGAAGGUCUUCGGAUUGUAAAGCUCUUUUGCCAGGGACGAUAAUGACGGUACCUGGAGAAUAAGCCCCGGCAAACUUCGUGCCAGCCGCCGCAGUAA